UACGGAGGGUGCAAGCGUUAUCCGGAUUCACUGGGUUUAAAGGGUGCGUAGGCGGGCAGGUAAGUCAGUGGUGAAAUCUCCGGGCUUAACCCGGAACUGCCGUUGAUACUAUCUGUCUUGAAUAUCGUGGAGGUAAGCGGAAUAUGUCAUGUAGCGGUGAAAUGCUUAGAUAUGACAUAGAACACCGAUUGCGAAGGCAGCUUACUACACGAUCAUUGACGCUGAGGCACGAAAAGCGUGGGGAGCAAACAGG
rnacentral:rRNA from 1 species